AAAUCUCUGCUGGCAAAUGUGG
rnacentral:miRNA from 1 species